UACGUAGGCAGCGAGCGUUGUUCGGAGUUACUGGGCGGAAAGGGUGUGUAGGCGGUUGUUUAAGUUUGGUGUGAAAUCUCCCGGCUCAACUGGGAGGGUGCGCCGAAUACUGAAUGACUUGGAGUGCGGGAGAGGAGAGUGGAAUUCCUGGUGUAGCGGUGAAAUGCGUAGAUAUCAGGAGGAACACCGGUGGUGUAGACGGCUCUCUGGACCGUAACUGACGCUGAGACACGAAAGCGUGGGUAGCAAACAGG
rnacentral:rRNA from 1 species